GGAGAAGGAGAGGUGCCGGAGACACGGCGAGGUGGGGAAAGUUGGAGGAGGGAGAAGAGGAGAGGUGGGGGCGAGGCGGCCGCCCCGACACUUACAGGCGUUGCACUCCGAGGGAAAGCCCGGUUAAAAUGAGAGACCCUCCGCAGCGUUGUCCCCAACCCCCGUGCACGGUGCGGUGGAGAAAGGGGAGAAACGGUGCUGUUCCCUGGCGACGGUAACCCUCACCCCACGGCGAGGGCACAGCUCAUCACCUGCCACAACAACCUGUGGCGAGGUGGGCUCGGCCUCUGCUCCCAGGUCACAGCGGUAGGACGAGACGUGAUGGCCUGAAGUUGCGCCAGGGGAGGUUCAGGUUGGAUGUUAGGAAACAUUUCUUCCCAGAAAGACCAGGGAUGCUGUCACUGUUGGACACCGGGGUGAGCAAAGACUCUGGUUGUGUGCAUCGUGUACGCAGGUAAUAAAGCAUUCUGAAUCCAGAAAGGUAGGCACACAAACAUUAGGAAGCAUUAAAAUUCAGAAUGUGUGUUCGCCCUUCAGCCGUGUCACCCAGGAGAAGAGCUGACGGAGUUGUCCUUUACCUACGCUGGUUGCCAGAUGGGAGCGAUGCACAUAUUUUGCAAAAGAGCUUCAGGAUUUGAUGACUGGAGUUCCUCUAUCGUGCACACCCGCAUUCUUUGUGUAAGGCUCUAGGUGCCCAUAAGUUUUGUGUUCAAACAAAACGUCAGCUACAACCUCAAUUCUUGUUCCUGCUACGUGCAAGUGCAAUACUGAGACCAUGAUGUGAGUUGAACCCAGAUGUCAUUGGCUUGGCCACUUGACAUCAAAUGACAUUCUGCUUUGCAGUGGCAGAACCACCGCAUCCUAAGAGAGGGAGACAAACUCCAUUUUCAAAAAUACAUUGAAUUAUUCAGCAAGGCAAAAAGAGCCAAGCUAAUAGCUCCCUCACCAACACUACAAAUUUUAGCCAAUUAGUCAUUACACCACAUCUGAGAAGUGGGUUAAUUUACCUCUUCUCAUUUUGCAUAGGAAGGAGGCAGAAGGGUUAGGGGACUGGCCCAAGGCCAUGAAGAGCAGUGCUCAGAGCUGAGCCUAGAAAGCAGACUUCUUGUUUCCCACGCCUACGUUUCAGCAACUAGACUUGGCUUGCCUACCUCAGAAAGUAGACUGGCAUAGCUAUAGCUGUGUAAUUACGCUGUUACCGUUACGCCGGAAUAACUCUCCUUGUGGACAUUCUCCUCCAGAUGGAAAGUGACUUCCCAAAAGCUGUCCAAAUGAAUUCACUCAACAGCAAACACUUCAUGUUUUUGCACUUUUUUUCACUGUGGGGUCAAAAUUCCCAAGAUGCAGGUCUCAGCAGCUUUCAAUAGCUCUUACAAGGCAUUGGAAAGCAUGGGUAAAUGUAAAAGGUGUCGCUGAAAUGCUGGGAGUUUUGUCAUCAAGAUUUUUAUGACGCUUUUCAUCAAAAUGUUGAAAGCUGAAAGCUUCCAGCUGGCUCUCCUUACAGGUAAUAAUUUAAUAACUAACAGCUUUUCUCCCAAAGCUGUUGGAACCGGCUUGAGUCAUGGAAGCUGAUGGGAAAAGCCAGACCCAUCCUCUACAGUAAUUAUUUCUGGUUUUAAUCCUGCUGCUCCAUAAGCUUUCAAAACCAAAUGAAGCUGUGAAAACAGGCAAGAGUGACCAAGGGAAAAGCAGGGGACAGGCACUAACCUGAAAGGGUUCACCCUUAAAAAUUAAUUUGUUAAGUGCAAAGACUGCAGAGAUGAGAGCAUCUUCACUACAGCAACAUGGGCAUAGGGUGAAUCACUGGUUUCAUUGCAAAAUUCAGCUCUGCCACAGCUCAGGGGCUGCAGUGAGAGCUCCAGUGAUUUCCAUCAACCACACGUUUGCUCCCAGAUUAUACUCUCUGGAGCAGCUGUAAUGACCUUGAGGAUCAAGUGGUGGUUUAGGGAUCAGGACACCAAUGUUCACAUCCAACCAUGGUCAGAUGUCCUCUGUGUGAUUUCAACCAAGUCAUUAUUCCUGUGCAUUUCAGUUCUGUUUUUAAAUUGCAGCAACAAAUGCAAUGAGAGGUUUUUCUUCAGCAGAAUAGUAGCCUGAAAGCAAUUCUCAGCUGUGCCACAGUCUUCUGACAUGCUAUAGAAGCUGCUUGGGCAAAUAUUUUAGAGAGCCAUUUCUGGAGCUCCUUUCCCCUCUGUUUCCAUCCACAAGAGCAAAGCAGCCCUCACACAGCCCUGCCUGCUCUAGACAGCUCUCUGCCACAACAGCCCAGCUACCCAGGGGACAGCCACCCAGUCCUGAGUCUUGUCAUGUCCCCAGGGUAAGCAUGGGCCUUAGUCCUCCCUUGCUGUGCUGGAGGCAACAGAGCUGCCCCAUUUAACAGAGAGGGUGGGAGGAGAAAUUAAUGCCUUAUAAUGCCUCAUCAAUAACAUGCUUCAGUAGGUCAGUGAUGGGCUCAGCCUGUUUUCAGCAGAGUAUUCAACUAUAUAUGCAUUUAACGUGUGUGUGUGUAUGCAUUCACAUACAUACAUUACUUUUCAAAACAGACAAAAAGGCUUUUUAUAUAAAUUCUGGUUUAAAUGAUCUGAUUCUCAUUUUUUGUGUGCUUUUAUAAGGUCAAAGUAUUCUAGGAGUUAGCUCCCCAAAAGCUUGUGUUAGGUAUUCACAUAAAUAAUAGCUUAUCAUAGCAAAAGCUCCAGGUUUAUUUAGAUUUAGCAAAUUAAAAAAGGCGUAUCUACCACCCUGCUGCCUCAGACAGCUAUGAACUGCACUGAGCCACGGACCCCCAGGUCAGCUUUCAUGCCUUUAGACUGAACCCUCUCUUUUCCAACCAAGAAGGGGUACUUUGAUGAGAAGUUGGAUCAAAUCCCAAUAUACUUUGAACAGGACAAAUGUAGACCUUUCUUUACUUAACUAUGUUGGGCAAUCUAAACCAUAUAAGCACUAAUCUAUUCAGUAUUCCAUCUCCUCCUCUUUACUACAAAAAGGCACUGUUUUAUGCUUAUGUGCACCAAUAAAGAGACCUAUAAAGAAAAUAAUGAACAUCCUUGAAUAUUUUCAGGCCAUACCCUAUUAAUUUUAAAAGCGACUCGACAUACUGCACCCCUUGUAUUUCAGCAAGAUAAAAGCCUAUAGAUUAAUUCCUAUUAAAACAGUUGGUAUUUUCAGGACAUGCAGAUGUAAUUUAUGGAGAGGCACAAUACUCAUAAUAGCUCAAAGGCCACAGAAACUGUAGAUCUGUGUCUGUUACUGUAGUUGUACAGGCAUUCAUUGUACAGAGAGCAGUUGAAAAGACGGAGUAUGUAAUCUGAAUACUAAAUUUGUGAAUAGUUUCUCACUUGGGCUGGUUAGGCUUUUCAAGAGCAGCGGAUGCUUUGUGGGAGACUUUGUAAGACAUUCUGCUAAUACAUCACAUGGUUGCUGUAUUUUCUUAUCGUUACUGUUAGAGCUUUAUUCAUUAACACACAGUAUUUGAUUCUUAGAAGGGCACUAGCUCCUGCUCUGUACUCUCCACCUGUAUUCAGUGUGCUUCGUGUGAGACAACUUCCACAACAAAUUCUGCUUCUUUCUAUCAAGUGAGCAACUUGAUGUAUAUAUAAACCAAAAGUGUGCAAGAAAUCAAGAUUUCUUCCCUCCCCAAGUACUCCAUUUGCUGUAUUCAAGUUACUUGGAAAAUAGUAUCGUAUUUUAUGUUUUAUUAUCAACAAUAAAAGUGUACAGGUUUUCUAUUUUA